CCUACGGGAGGCUGCAGUGAGGAAUAUUGGUCAAUGGGCGCGAGCCUGAACCAGCCAAGUCGCGUGAGGGAAGACGGUCCUAUGGAUUGUAAACCUCUUUAGGCGGGGAGCAAUGCCGGUCACGUGUGCCGGGAGGGAGAGUACCCGCAGAAUAAGCAUCGGCUAACUCCGUGCCAGCAGCCGCGGUAAUACGGAGGAUGCGAGCGUUAUCCGGAUUUAUUGGGUUUAAAGGGUGCGUAGGCGGAUUUUUAAGUCAGUGGUAAAAUGGCGGGGCUCAACCCCGGCCGGCCGUUGAAACUGGGGAUCUUGAGUGGGAGAGAAGUAUGCGGAAUGCGUGGUGUAGCGGUGAAAUGCAUAGAUAUCACGCAGAACCCCGAUUGCGAAGGCAGCAUACCGGCUUCCGACUGACGCUGAGGCACGAAAGCGUGGGGAUCGAACAGGAUUAGAUACCCCGGUAGUC
rnacentral:rRNA from 1 species